rnacentral:rRNA from 1 species
UACGGAGGAUGCAAGCGUUAUCCGGAUUUAUUGGGUUUAAAGGGUGCGCAGGUGGUUGAAUAAGUCAGUGGUGAAAGUCUGCCGCUUAACGGUAGGAUUGCCAUUGAUACUGUUUGACUUGAGUUUAGGUGAGGUAGGCGGAAUGUGUAGUGUAGCGGUGAAAUGCAUAGAUAUUACACAGAACACCGAUUGCGAAGGCAGCUUACUAAUCUACAACUGACACUGAGGCA